GUUCUGCUGAAGAGUCCCAAACUAGGACGAAACAGAUGUCCAGUAC
rnacentral:hammerhead_ribozyme from 1 species